rnacentral:rRNA from 1 species
AGAGUUUGAUCCUGGCUCAGAUUGAACGCUGGCGGCAGGCCUAACACAUGCAAGUCGAGCGGAUGAGUGGAGCUUGCUCCAUGAUUCAGCGGCGGACGGGUGAGUAAUGCCUAGGAAUCUGCCUGGUAGUGGGGGACAACGUUUCGAAAGGAACGCUAAUACCGCAUACGUCCUACGGGAGAAAGUGGGGGAUCUUCGGACCUCACGCUAUCAGAUGAGCCUAGGUCGGAUUAGCUAGUUGGUGAGGUAAAGGCUCACCAAGGCGACGAUCCGUAACUGGUCUGAGAGGAUGAUCAGUCACACUGGAACUGAGACACGGUCCAGACUCCUACGGGAGGCAGCAGUGGGGAAUAUUGGACAAUGGGCGAAAGCCUGAUCCAGCCAUGCCGCGUGUG